ACUCCUACGGGAGGCAGCAGUAAGGAAUAUUGGGCAAUGGAGGCAACUCUGACCCAGCCAUGCCGCGUGCAGGAAGACGGCCCUACGGGUUGUAAACUGCUUUUAAUAGGGAGUAAGGUUAGUUACGUGUAACUAAUUGCAAGUACCUAUAGAAUAAGGAUCGGCUAACUCCGUGCCAGCAGCCGCGGUAAUACGGAGGAUCCAAGCGUUAUCCGGAUUUAUUGGGUUUAAAGGGUGCGCAGGCGGACUAAUAAGUCAGUGGUGAAAUCUACAUGCUUAACAUGUAUCGUGCCAUUGAUACUGUUGGACUAGUAUGCAAAUGACGUAGCUGGAAUGUGUUAUGUAGCGGUGAAAUGCUUAGAUAUAACACAGAACACCAAUCGUGAAGACAGGUUACGAAUUUGUAAUAGACGCUCAGGCACGAAAGCGUGGGGAUCAAACAGGAUUAGAUACCCUGGUAGUC
rnacentral:rRNA from 1 species